rnacentral:rRNA from 1 species
GCUCAUAUCGACGGAGUUGUUUGGCACCUCGAUGUCGGCUCAUCACAUCCUGGGGCUGGAGAAGGUCCCAAGGGUUCGGCUGUUCGCCGAUUAAAGUGAUACGCGAGCUGGGUUUAGACCGUCGUGAGACAGGUCGGUCCCUAUCUGCCGUGGGCGUAGGGUGCUUGAGAAGAUUUGCUCCUAGUACGAGAGGAUUGGAGUGAACGAACCUCUGGUGAGCCAGUUGUCGCGCCAGCGGCAUAGCUGGGUAGCUAUGUUCGGAAAGGAUAAACGCUGAAGGCAUCUAAGCGUGAAGCCUUCUUCAAGAUAAGGCACCCCUAUCAGGCUCCUUGAAGACGACAAGGUGAUAGGCCAGAUGUGGAAGCGUGGUAACAUGCGAAGCUAACUGGUCCUAAUUAGCCGAUCGACUUGACCUUAAAA